rnacentral:rRNA from 1 species
GUUGGCCCCUGACCGGGGUUGCGGACAGUGUCUGGUGGGUAGUUUGACUGGGGCGGUCUCCUCCCAAAGCGUAACGGAGGAGCACGAAGGUUAGCUAAUCCUGGUCGGACAUCAGGAGGUUAGUGCAAUGGCAUAAGCUAGCUUGACUGCGAGCGUGACGGCGCGAGCAGGUGCGAAAGCAGGUCAUAGUGAUCCGGUGGUUCUGAAUGGAAGGGCCAUCGCUCAACGGAUAAAAGGUACUCCGGGGAUAACAGGCUGAUACCGCCCAAGAGUUCAUAUCGACGGCGGUGUUUGGCACCUCGAUGUCGGCUCAUCACAUCCUGGGGCUGAAGUAGGUCCCAAGGGUAUGGCUGUUCGCCAUUUAAAGUGGUACGCGAGCUGGGUUUAGAACGUCGUGAGACAGUUCGGUCCCUAUCUGCCGUGGGCGCUGGAGAAUUGAGGGGGGCUGCUCCUAGUACGAGAGGACCGGAGUGGACGCAUCACUGGUGUUCGGGUUGUCAUGCCAAUGGCACUGCCCGGUAGCUAAAUGCGGAAGAGAUAAGUGCUGAAAGCAUCUAAGCACGAAACUUGCCCCGAGAUGAGUUCUCCCUGAGACUUUAAGUCUCCUGAAGGAACGUUGAAGACGACGACGUUGAUAGGCCGGGUGUGUAAGCGCAGCGAUGCGUUGAGCUAACCGGUACUAAUGAACCGUGAGGCUUAACCUU